ACCUGGGUGGCUCAGUUGGUUAAGCGUCUGACUUCGGCUCAGGUCAUGAUCUCGCAGUUUGUGGGUUCGAGUCCCACGUCAGGCU
rnacentral:tRNA from 1 species